UACAGGGGGGUGCAAACGUUGCUCGGAAUUAUUGGGCGUAAAGCGCGCGUAGGCGGCCACUUAAGUCGGAUGUGAAAGCCCCUGGCUCAACUGGGGAAGUGCACCCGAAACUGAAUGGCUUGAAUGCAAAAGAGGGUCGCGGAAUUCCCGGUGUAGAGGUGAAAUUCGUAGAUAUCGGGAGGAACACCGGUGGCGAAGGCGGCGACCUGGGUAGAUACUGACGCUGAGGCGCGAAAGCGUGGGGAGCAAACAGG
rnacentral:rRNA from 1 species